GACUGAUGAUCGAGUGAUAGUUUUAAAUUAAAGAGAUAUCGGACAUAUUUCAUGAUGAUCGAGUGAUAGUUUUAAAUUAAAGAGAUAUCGGACAUAUUUCAUGAUGAUCGAGUGAUAGUUUUAAAUUAAAGAGAUAUCGGACACAUUUCAUGAUGAUCCAGUGAUAGUUUUAAAUUAAAGAGAUAUCUGACAGAUUUCAUGAUGAUCGAGUGAUAGUUUUGAAUUAAAGAGAUUUCGGACACAUUUCAUGAUGAUCGAGUGAUAGUUUUAAAUUAAAGAGAUAUCGGACACAUUUCGUGAUGAUCGAGUGAUAGUUUUAAAUUAAAGAGAUAUCGGACACAUUUCAUGAUGAUCGAGUGAUAGCCUAGCCUUGCUACAUGAUUGUGUCUGGGGUUUCUGUGCUUGAUUAAAAGUAGCCUGUCUGACUCUGAGUUUUUAUAAGUUGCUGGCUAAUAUGCAAAUUCUGCUCUAAAAGUCUGUAUUUCCGAUUGGUUGUCCCGACCUAAUUCACUUCCUGUUCAUUGUCCAAUUGGAUUAUGUCAUGAUGAUAUGUUGACCUAUUGACCCAAGCCUGGAGGUCAUGGGGGGUGUAGCCAGGUUGGUUUGGCUGCAGGAAAGAACCUCCAUUCGGGCUCUAGCUAGGGGCAGCCAUUUUGUGUCUGUGUAGAUCAGUGGCACUUGUUAUAGUGAUGUGUGGUCAGUAAGGGAGUGUUAUAGUGAUGUGUGGUCAGUAAGGGAGUGUUAUAGUGAUGUGUGGUCAGUAGGGGAGUGUUAUAGUGAUGUGUGGUCAGUAGGGGAGUGUUAUAGUGAUGUGUGGUCAGUAGGGGAGUGUUAUAGUGAUGUGUGGUCAGUAGGGAGUUGUUAUAGUGAUGUGUGGUCAGUAGGGAGUGUUAUAGUGAUGUGUGGUCAGUAGGGGAGUGUUCAGGUAUAAACCUAAAGGCACCUUAUUUUGGCAGCUGGUGAGUUUCAGGAUCUAAUGCCUCAGAAUCAAGAGAGAGAGAGAAUGUUAAGCAUGGGUUCCACUACAGAGUUAGAGUUUAGUAGAACGGACAAAGACAAGAGAGAGAGAAUGUUAAUGUCUCUGCCAUUGCAGAGAAACGGUGCCGUUUGAGAAGCAGAGUGUGAAAUCUGUACACUGGACUGUAGCCAUCCCAUAGCAUUCUAGUGGUGCUAGAAUGUCCCAUCUAGUGGUUCUAGAAUGUCUAGUGGUUGUAGAAUGUCUAGCGGUUGCAGAAUGUCUAGUGGUUCUAGAAUGUCUAGUGGUUCUAGAAUGUCUAGCGGUUUGCUGCAUGUCUAGUGGUUCUAGAAUGUCUAGCGGUUGCUGAAUGUCUAGUGGUUCUAGAAUGUCUAGUGGUUCUAGAAUGUCUAGCGGUUCUAGAAUGUCCGUUCUAGUAAUGCUAAUUCCACAGGGUUGACCCAGCACACGAGGCGAACCAUAGUAAGGGGUUUCUUUAGAGUUGCACGAAACAACUUUAUUAAGGUCUUACAAAUGUGUAAGUGAAGGAUUAUUCUCUAUCACUGACUAUCUUACAACAGAGAGUAAAACAACACUUUUUUCAGUAGUUUUCCGUAGCUUUACGAUAUAUAUCUUUAUGUUCAGUUUUGGUUCCUUCCAACCAGGCAGCUACCAACUACAUUGUAGCAUCCGCACACAACGUUCAGACACACACACACACACACACACACACACACACACACACACACACACACACACACACACACACACACACACACACACACACACACACACACACACACACACACACACACACACACACACACACACACACACACACACACACACACACACACACACAGAGAGUAUCCAAAACAACAAGUCCCUCUCAGACAGACUAAAAACUACACAUUUUUAUUCUCUUGUUGUUGUUGUUGUUGUUGAUGUUGUUGUUGUUGUUGUUGUUGUUGUUUGUUUGUUUGUUUUGUUUGUUUGUCACUAAAAUCUAAAUGUUUAAAUAUCAUGAAUAUUUCAAAAUCGAUACCUAGACUUAUUUAGUCAUUUUUUUUAUUUAAGUGAUUAAUAUACAAAUCUCAUACAGACGGGAGAAAUGGCACUAAGGCUAGAACCUGCUCCUUAACCACAGAUCUAGGAUCAGUUUAGCCUCCCCCGGGUCCUAUCCUUUACCAUUAGAGGAGGGGGGGGGAUAUAUAACUGACCUUAGAUCAGUCACUAGGGACAGUUUCCCUGCAUACUGGUCAGUGUAUCAGUAAAAAGGCCUAAUUCAUGCAUUGUCACGGCGCAGAACACAUAGAGGAAGAGGAGGAGGAGGAGGAGGAGGAGGAGGAGGAGGAGGAGGAGGAGGAGGAGGAGGAGGAGGAGGAGGAGGAGGAGGAGG